rnacentral:rRNA from 1 species
GACGAACGCUGGCGGCGUGCUUAACACAUGCAAGUCGAACGGUAAGGCCCUUCGGGGUACACGAGUGGCGAACGGGUGAGUAACACGUGGGUAAUCUGCCCUGCACAUCGGGAUAAGCCUGGGAAACUGGGUCUAAUACCGAAUAGGACCACAGGACACAUGUCCUGUGGUGGAAAGCUUUUGCGGUGUGGGAUGGGCCCGCGGCCUAUCAGCUUGUUGGUGGGGUGAUGGCCUACCAAGGCGACGACGGGUAGCCGGCCUGAGAGGGUGUCCGGCCACACUGGGACUGAGAUACGGCCCAGACUCCUACGGGAGGCAGCAGUGGGGAAUAUUGCACAAUGGGCGAAAGCCUGAUGCAGCGACGCCGCGUGGGGGAUGACGGCCUUCGGGUUGUAAACCUCUUUCACCAUCGACGAAGGUCCGGGUUUUCUCGGGCUGACGGUAGGUGGAGAAGAAGCACCGGCCAACUACGG